rnacentral:rRNA from 1 species
AACGAACGCUGGCGGCGUGCCUAACACAUGCAAGUCGAACGUGAUUAGAGAGCUUGCUCUCUAUGAAAGUGGCGCACGGGUGAGUAACGCGUAGAUAAUCUGCCUGAUUGGUCUGGGAUAACACUUCGAAAGGGGUGCUAAUACCGGAUAAGCCCACGGAGACCUUGGUCUUUGCGGGAAAAGGGGGGGACCUUCGGGCCUUCUGCCAUCAGAUGAGUCUGCGUACCAUUAGCUAGUUGGUAGGGUAAAGGCCUACCAAGGCGACGAUGGUUAGCUGGUAUGAGAGGAUGAGCAGCCACACUGGAACUGAGACACGGUCCAGACUCCUACGGGAGGCAGCAGUGGGGAAUUUUGCGCAAUGGGGGAAACCCUGACGCAGCAACGCCGCGUGAGUGAUGAAGGCUCUUGGGUCGUAAAGCUCUGACAGAGGGAAAGAAAUGUGGGUGGCUAAUAUCCAUACCACUUGACGGUACCCUCAAAGGAAGCACCGGCUAACUCCGUGCCAGCCGCCGCCGUAA